rnacentral:rRNA from 1 species
CGAAGGGUGCUAGCGUUGUUCGGAAUCACUGGGCGUAAAGCGUGCGUAGGCGGCUAUACAAGUCAGAGGUGAAAUGCCAAGGCUUAACCUUGGAACUGCCUUUGAAACUGUGUAGCUGGAGUGUCGGAGGGGAUAGCGGAAUUUCUAAUGUAGCGGUGAAAUGCGUAGAUAUUAGAAGGAACACCGGUGGCGAAGGCGGCUAUCUGGACGACAACUGACGCUGAGGCACGAAAGCGUGGGGAGCAAACAGGAUUAGAUACCCUGGUAGUCCACGCUGUAAACGAUGGGUGCUAGCCGUCGGAGGUUUGACCUUCGGUGGCGUAGCUAACGCGCUAAGCACCCCGCCUCGGGAGGUACGGUCGCAAGAUUA